rnacentral:tRNA from 1 species
GUCGGUAUGGAUUAGGGGGGAAAUCACUUCGUUGUGGUAAUAUCAUUCCGAAGAGACGUUGGUUCGAUACCAGCUACCGACA